rnacentral:rRNA from 1 species
AUGUCGACUGCAGGGAUAAUCAAAGUCUCCGCUGCGUGCCCUGUCUUCGAUGGCACUGAUUACCCUUACUGGAAGAAUAAUAUGCGUAUGCAUCUUGAAGCCAUUGACGUCGACCUCUGGUAUGUCGUCAAGAACGGUGUUCCCAAGGUCGGUGAAGGUGUCACUGCUGCUGAUGUCAAGAGGUUCAUUCAACUGGACUCGACUGCCAAGAACAUCAUCUGUGGUCAUCUGACAAAAGGACAGUAUGGUCGUGUGAGUGCUCUGGAAACUGCGAACCUAGUCUGGGACUGGCUCUCCAAGGUCAACGAAGGUGUCUCAACCCAGAGAGACUCAAGGAUUAGUGUUCUUCGCAACCUCUUCAACCGCUUCAAGAGAAAUGACAAUGAGAAUGUCCAGCUCACAUUUGAUCUCCUCACUGAUAUCACAAAUGAGCUUCACGCACUCGGCACCACUAAGAUCACCAAGCACGAAAUCGUCAAGACGCUUUUGAGAUCGCUUGACAGCUCAUUCGACACCCUGGCCCUGAUGAUUCAAGAACGCCCCUGA